GCGCUUUUAGCUCAGUGGUAGAGCGUUUGCAUGACACGCAAAAGGUCGGAGGUUCGAUCCCUCCAAGGCGCACUA
rnacentral:tRNA from 1 species